rnacentral:rRNA from 1 species
UACGAAGGGUGCAAACGUUGCUCGGAAUCAUUGGGCGUAAAGCGCACGUAGGCGGCCUGAUAAGUCGGAUGUGAAAUCCCUCGGCUCAACUGAGGACGUGCAUUCGAAACUGCCAGGCUCGAGUAUGGAAGAGGGUCGCGGAAUUCCCGGUGUAGAGGUGAAAUUCGUAGAUAUCGGGAGGAACACCAGUGGCGAAGGCGGCGACCUGGGCCAAUACUGACGCUGAGGUGCGAAAGCGUGGGGAGCAAACAGG